UCCCUGGAGGACUAGUGGCUAGGCCUGGGAGUGCUCACCGCCGCGGCCCAGGUUCGAUUCCUGGCCAGGGAA
rnacentral:tRNA from 1 species